GAUGAAGAACGCAGCGAAAUGCGAUAAGUAAUGUGAAUUGCAGAAUUCAGUGAAUCAUCGAAUCUUUGAACGCACCUUGCACCCUUUGGCAUUCUGAAGGGUAUGCUCGUUUGAGUGUCAUUGUACUCUCACACUCCCGAUCUUUGCAUUGGGAGCAGUGGACUUGGGUUUGCUGCUUCACCGUCGCUUACCUCAAAUAGGUUAGUGCAACUCUUGGUUGGACAUAGUACGGCGUGAUAAGUGUUCUUCGCCGGUGCCUCGCAAAGAGGGUGGCCGAUCGGGAUGUUGUGCUCCAAACCGUCUUCGGACAAUCUCUGACGACUUGACCUCAGAUCGAGUAAGACUACCCGCUGAACUUAAGCAUAUCAAUAAGCGGAGGA
rnacentral:misc_RNA from 1 species